rnacentral:rRNA from 1 species
CAGUCGCCGCGGGAAUACGAAGGGUGCAAGCGUUACUCGGAAUUACUGGGCGUAAAGCGUGCGUAGGUGGUGGUUUAAGUCCGUUGUGAAAGCCCUGGGCUCAACCUGGGAAUUGCAGUGGAUACUGGGUCACUAGAGUGUGGUAGAGGAUAGUGGAAUUUCCGGUGUAGCAGUGAAGUGCGUAGAGAUCGGGAGGAACAUCAGUGGCGAAGGCGGCCAUCUGGGACAACACUGACGCUGAGGCACGAAAGCGUGGGGAGCAAACAGGAUUAGAUACCCGAGUAGUCCCUGUCUCUUAUAA